UCUUCUAGAGAACCACUAAAUGGGUCAGCCGAUGAGGAGUUCUCUGGAAAUGGGACUUUGUUUUGUUUUUAUUUUUGGUUUCAAAUAUUUUAUUUAUUGACUUGAGAGAGAAGGAGCAUGGGCUGGGGAAAUAGGGAGAUGGGGAGAGAGAAGCAGACUCCCCAUUGAGCAGGGACUUGAUGCAAGGCUCCAUCCCAGGACCCUGGGAUUAUGACCUGAGCCAAAGGCAGAUGCUUAACCCGCUGAGCCACUCAGACAUCCCUGGGACUCUGAAGCUCUGAAGGAGCUUCAACUGUGUGCUGCUUCUUCCAGGGGCUGCCAGACUGCUGGUUUUCACUGUGACUAUGGGCUGUUAAUAUUCAAGGCUACCAUGGAGCUAAAGAGUAAAGAUAAGAAUAGGGCAAAGUAAAAUGUCACAAAACUCACUGUUCUUACCGUGAUUCUGAUCUUUUUCUUGAAUGAACUUUUCCCAAAGUGCUGAAGCCUUUAGUUAAUUUCCAAAGUUAUGAAAAAGUUGAUUCUUACCAUUUUUCUCCUCAGUUUUCUCAUUGCUUUCAUGGAAGAGAAAAUUUUCAGAAGCUCUUGCUUUGCUGCCUUGCCGAUGUCACCUGAUGAGAGACCUUUUGAAGAGAAGAGCAAAAAGAGGUAAAACAACUUGUUUUCUCCUGGGCUUGAAAAGCAAG
rnacentral:lncRNA from 12 species